rnacentral:rRNA from 1 species
GACAGAGGGGGCAAGCGUUGCUCGGAAUUACUGGGCGUAAAGCGUGCGCAGGCGGUUUUGUAAGACUGUCGUGAAAUCCCCGGGCUUAACCUGGGAAUGGCGAUGGUGACUGCAAGGCUAGAGUUUGGCAGAGGGGGGUAGAAUUCCACGUGUAGCAGUGAAAUGCGUAGAUAUGUGGAGGAACACCGAUGGCGAAGGCAGCCCCCUGGGUCAAAACUGACGCUCAUGCACGAAAGCGUGGGGAGCAAACAGG